UUUUUUUUGCUUCCCCAAAAGAUCUGAACUGCCCUUUGCCUCUCCCGAGCCUGCCGGACUAGACUUACAAGUGCUAGACCCUGCAAUAGUGUUCUUUUUGAGAGUCAGAAGAUUUUGCAUUUGAACCCAGCUCUGCCACUUAAAAACCACGUGCCCUCGGAGAAGUUCCUUAUACUAUCUUCUCGGUAUCCUUCUCAAGUGAAGACCAGUGUGGGAGAAGUGUGCAGCACAGACAGGGAAGAGGAGGACACAAGAGAAAUGACAGCAGCUGGAGGCACCUACAAGCAGCCAGGCACUUGAGAAUUGACUGGACAUUUGGUGACAAUGGUAACAACAGAGCACAACUGCUGGGUUAUGUCCCGACUGCUUCACCCCAAUCCUUCAGUAUGAAUCCUUACUCUCCCCAUUUUGUAAAUGAGGAAAAUGAGGCACAGAAGGGACAAGUGACGUGCUUAGGGUCUCACACAGCUAUUAAGUGACAGAGACAGGAUUGCGGCCCCAGCUUCCUGUGGCCAGAGUUCAUGUUUUCAAUCCCUGAGCCCUAUGGCCUCUGCACACCUGGAGAGAAAUGGGAUGGGGUUCUAAAGAGGCAAGUUAUAUACCAGAAUUUGGGGGGUAGUCUCUAUUUCAAACAAUGUCUUGAAUUCCUUGAGGAACGUGAAACGGGGCCCCUGAUCUGGAGGCUGGUACCCGCCCUGAGGACGUGGCGUUCUCCAGCUGAACAUCAACAAUUUCAGAGAAUACUCACGUCGGACAAGACUGCUGUGAUCACGAUGGAUCGCGACAAAAGUAAGGCAAGCAGCUAUUUAUGUCUGAAGACACACAAACCACGAACAUCGUCCAAAACACAGGAAUGACCAAACACGGCCCUAAACGUAUGAUUCCUCCUGCCUGAUUGACAAGAAUUCUCGAGCCCCUUUACCGAGUCCUCUGUUUCCUGAAAGUGUCCAAUCCAGAGCGAAGCCUCGCUUCCUUGAACCCACCCUCAAAUCACCUAAUACAAACCCAAAACCUAUAAUAAAUAAUUUUUGAAAGCA